GACGAACGCUGGCGGCGUGCUUAACACAUGCAAGUCGAACGGAAAGGCCUCUUUCGGGGGGUACUCGAGUGGCGAACGGGUGAGUAACACGUGAGUAACCUGCCCUUGACUUUGGGAUAACUUCAGGAAACUGGGGCUAAUACCGGAUAGGAGCUCCUGCUGCAUGGUGGGGGUUGGAAAGUUUCGGCGGUUGGGGAUGGACUCGCGGCUUAUCAGCUUGUUGGUGGGGUAGUGGCUUACCAAGGCUUUGUCGGGUAGCCGGCCUGAGAGGGUGACCGGCCAAAUUGGGACUGAGAUACGGCCCAGACUCCUACGGGAGGGAGGAGGGGGGAAGAUUGCACAAUGGGUGGGAGCCUGAUGCAGCAACGCCGUGUGCGGGAUGACGGCCUUCGGGUUGUAAACCGCUUUCGCUCAUGACGAAGCUUUGUGUGACGGUAGUGGGUAAAGAAGCACCGGCUAACUACGUG
rnacentral:rRNA from 1 species